rnacentral:rRNA from 1 species
CAGGACGACGCUGGCGGCGUGCUUAACACAUGCAAGUCGAGCGGGGAGGAGAAAGCUUGCUUUCGAAUCCUAGCGGCGGACGGGUGAGUAACGCGUGAGCAACCUGCCUCUUACAGGGGGAUAACGCAUCGAAAGAUGUGCUAAUACCGCGUAAGACCACAGCAUCACAUGGUGCAGGGGUCAAAGGAGCAAUCCGGUAAGAGAUGGGCUCGCGUCCGAUUAGCUAGUUGGCGGGAUAACAGCCCACCAAGGCGACGAUCGGUAGCCGACCUGAGAGGGUGAUCGGCCACAUUGGGACUGAGAUACGGCCCAGACUCCUACGGGAGGCAGCAGUCGGGAAUAUUGCGCAAUGGAGGAAACUCUGACGCAGUGACGCCGCGUAUAGGAAGAAGGUUUUCGGAUCGUAAACUUCUGUCCUUAGGGAAGAUAAUGACGGUACCUUUGGAGGAAGCCCCGGCUAACUACGUG